ACGAACGCUAGCGGCGUGCUUAACACAUGCAAGUCGAACGGAAAGGCCCUGCUUUUGUGGGGUGCUCGAGUGGCGAACGGGUGAGUAACACGUGAGUAACCUGCCCUUGACUUUGGGAUAACUUCAGGAAACUGGGGCUAAUACCGGAUAGGAGCUCCUGCUGCAUGGUGGGGGUUGGAAAGUUUCGGCGGUUGGGGAUGGACUCGCGGCUUAUCAGCUUGUUGGUGGGGUAGUGGCUUACCAAGGCUUUGACGGGUAGCCGGCCUGAGAGGGUGACCGGCCACAUUGGGACUGAGAUACGGCCCAGACUCCUACGGGAGGCAGCAGUCGGGAAUCUUGCACAAUGGGCGCAAGCCUGAUGCAGCAACGCCGCGUGCGGGAUGACGGCCUUCGGGUUGUAAACCGCUUUCGCCUGUGACGAAGCGUGAGUGACGGUAAUGGGUAGAGAAGCACCGGCUAACUACGUG
rnacentral:rRNA from 1 species